GGACCCUGACCGAUGCAUUAACUGGUUCCAGAAAUGGUCCCAAGAACACUGCAUGAGCAGCGUGAAGACAUUCCAUCCGUGUAGAUGCCCAGGAGAAGGCAUCCACAUGGAGGAAGCGCCCAGUAAUCAGAGUAAAAUCAGGAUCUAAGAAGAUGCUCGUGUUUAUUUGACCUCUUCUGUCCCCUGUCAUAUGGACACCUGCCCACAUCUCAACUUGAGAAGCACAUUACUAGAGGAAUAAUUUCAACAGUUUGUCACAAACACACUUCAGGACUUCCUGACCACGUACCAGAGGCACUGCUCGGGAUGUCUCCACGCGAGGUCGGGGUGCAGUUGAGUACAUGUAGUUGAAGAGC